GUGCCAGCAGCCGCGGUAAUACGUAGGGGGCUAGCGUUGUCCGGAUUUAUUGGGCGUAAAGAGCGUGUAGGCGGCCAGGUAGGUCUGCUGUGAAAACUCGAGGCUCAACCUCGAGACGUCGGCGGAAACCAUCUGGCUAGAGUCCGGAAGAGGAGAGUGGAAUUCCAGGUGUAGCGGUGAAAUGCGCAGAUAUCAGGAGGAACACCGAUGGCGAAGGCAGCUCGCUGGGACGGUACUGACGCUGAGGCGCGAAAGCGUGGGGAGCGAACAGGAUUAGAUACCCUGGUAGCCCACGCCGUAAACGAUGGAUGCUAGCCGUUGGACAGCUUGCUGUUCAGUGGCGCAGCUAACGCAUUAAGCAUCCCGCCUGGGGAGUACGGUCGCAAGAUUAAAACUCAAAUGAAUUGACGG
rnacentral:rRNA from 1 species